UACGAAGGGGGCUAGCGUUGCUCGGAAUUACUGGGCGUAAAGGGCGCGUAGGCGGCACUGUUAGUCAGGCGUGAAAGUCCUGGGCUCAACCUGGGAACUGCGCUUGAUACGGCAGAGCUAGAGGAUGGAAGAGGCUCGCGGAAUUCCCAGUGUAUAGGUGAAAUUCGUAGAUAUUGGGAGGAACACCUAUGGCGAAGGCAGCUCGCUGGGACGUUACUGACGCUGAGACGCGAAAGCGUGGGGAGCAAACAGG
rnacentral:rRNA from 1 species